UCGCUGUGAUGACGUCAUUUCCUGCCAUUCGUAGUUUCCACCAGAGGUCCAACAGACCGGUGACUGUCCAAACCUUCCUUGGAUGUCUGAGCGA
ensembl:snoRNA SNORD14 Small nucleolar RNA SNORD14